GCCCGCAUGUGUAUGCGAUUGUGUCGCAACUUGUGGAGAGCACAUUGUGCUGGGAAGCACUCAAUGUGUUGGAGGCACUCUUGCAUAGUUGCAGCGGAUUGACUGGUGGCCAUGUGGAUGACCUUGGGCUGUAUGAGAACGGCUAUGUUGUAGGUGAGAAGUCUCUGCAAGCGAUACUGGCACCUCAGAGCUCGUUCAAAGCAAGAAGUGG
rnacentral:misc_RNA from 1 species